rnacentral:lncRNA from 12 species
ACUGUUUUUUUUGUUUUAUUUAUUUUUUUAUUAAUAAGCAGUGAAGCAGUUUUGAUCAAAUAUUUUUGCAAGAAUUAAAAAUAAAAGAUUAUGCCAACUACUUAAUUUUCAGGAAUUUCAUUUUUAAUUCUUUCAUCUUUUUUUUUUCAGUAUGAUUUCAGGACAGUCAUUUCACCCUGAGAUUUUUGAGUUUAUCCAUAUGUUCUUUUAGAGCAAAGCAUCCGUUCAGUGGCUGAAGGACGUUCUUGUUGAGGAACAGACUCCCUGUGUUCUUCAUGAGUUCCUUACACACCAUCUCAGAGCUCGUGGAGCCUGACGAGUCUCUGGAGCUUGCGUCUAGAGCUCAGCGCAUCCACCGGACCAGCAAAGACUGGAGGUUAACACAUGAAGAGCUUCGAGUGCCUACUAGACACCAUGAUAGACGGACAACUAAACGGACAAGCAAGUCACCUUCUCAUAAGCAGGUGAAUCUGCCGCAGUGGCUGGUGAAUCUGAUGUGGGACAUCGAGGAGGCCAUGACACAUGAGCUGACCAUUGAGUGAAGAUCCCUCAGACUGUGAGCUUUAACAGCCAACACAUCUUCUGCUUUCGCCUCUCUUGACACCUGAGGUCAUCAUUGGUUUUUGUAGAAUUUUUUUAUUUUUUUCUGAAGUUUAAUUCUCCAUCUCCAGAGGCCUGUUUUUGUUCUUCUUGCACAAGCUAUGGCUGGACUUGUGUGGGUGGGAUGUAAAUGAUUUGCUUGUGGUGUGUGUAUGUAUAGGGACUGAUGGACCUACAGCAAUCCUGAAGAACCUCAGCCGUGUUUGUUAGAGCAGAUAAACAAAGCUUGAACUCAUAAGAUUUGCUCACCAUUAAAGCUUGAUUUAAUGAUUAAUGCUACUGGAAUCACAAAUUUGUAGUGUCUGAAAAACUGACUGAACUAUUGGUUGACCUCACGCAAGAGAUCUUGGUGUCCAAAGUUGGACUAAUACUACACCAGGAACUCUUAAUUACUGCACAGGCACCUCAAGAUAAACAUGUUAUGAUGGCUGAAGACCUCAGAUUAACCCGUCCUGUUAUGCAAUGACCACAUGACCUUGUUUUUGUGACCCAACU